UACGUAGGGUGCGAGCGUUAAUCGGAAUUACUGGGUGUAAAGCGUGCGCAGGCGGUUUGCUAAGACAGGUGUGAAAUCCCCGGGCUUAACCUGGGAACUGCAUUUGUGACUGCAUCGCUGGAGUGCGGCAGAGGGGGAUGGAAUUCCGCGUGUAGCAGUGAAAUGCGUAGAUAUGCGGAGGAACACCGAUGGCGAAGGCAAUCCCCUGGGCCUGCACUGACGCUCAUGCACGAAAGCGUGGGGAGCAAACAGG
rnacentral:rRNA from 1 species